rnacentral:lncRNA from 1 species
AGUCCUUUUCUUGACUUGGUGAAGUCAGUGAGAGGAUUUAUGACUCGCAGGUCAAUCUCUUCUCUUAUUCUUAAAUCAUUAAAUCAAUUUUUUUAAAUUAUUAGAUCUUUAAAGUGAUACGGUUAUAGAGAUAACUAGUUCAUAGCCUCUCAUUAAAGUGCGUGAUAAUGCAUUCAAUAUUCUAAAUAGAUAUUGAAGGCACCACAUGCCUGGUAUCUAUUAAGUAUUGAAAUUAUCAUUCAUUAUAUGACCACUUUGUUGUGCCCUUUAUAUCAAUAG